AGCAAACCUACGCCGGUGUUGUCGUCUUUUUAUUUUUAUUUCGAUUUUUCGCUUGCCAUCUGGGACGCCGAUACCCCACUCUCAGAAAUAACCAAAGACAAUGGUUCACUGUGCGGGCUGCAAAAGGCCAAUCUUGGACCGGUUCUUGUUGAAUGUACUGGACAGGGCUUGGCAUGUGAAGUGUGUUCAGUGCUGUGAAUGUAAAUGCAAUUUGACAGAGAAAUGCUUUUCGCGAGAAGGCAAGCUUUACUGCAAAAACGACUUCUUUCGGUGUUUCGGGACCAAGUGCGCGGGCUGUGCCCAGGGCAUCUCCCCCAGCGACCUGGUCCGCAGGGCGCGGAGCAAAGUGUUCCACUUGAACUGUUUUACGUGUAUGAUGUGCAACAAGCAGCUCUCCACCGGCGAGGAGCUCUAUAUCAUAGACGAAAACAAGUUCGUCUGCAAAGAAGAUUACCUAAAUAACAGCAAUACUGCCAAAGAAAACAGCCUGCAUUCAGCUACCACCGGCAGUGACCCCAGCCUGUCCCCCGACUCCCAAGACCCCUCCCAGGACGACGCCAAGGACUCGGAGAGCGCCAACGUGUCCGACAAGGAGACGGGCAGCAACGAGAACGACGACCAGAACCUGGGGGCCAAGCGGCGGGGGCCCCGCACCACCAUCAAAGCCAAACAGCUAGAGACUCUGAAGGCCGCCUUCGCGGCCACCCCCAAACCCACGCGGCACAUCAGGGAGCAGCUGGCGCAGGAGACCGGCCUCAACAUGCGCGUCAUCCAGGUGUGGUUCCAGAACCGCCGCUCCAAGGAGCGCCGCAUGAAGCAGCUGAGCGCGCUGGGCGCCCGCCGGCACGCCUUCUUCCGCAGCCCGCGCAGGAUGCGGCCGCUGGUGGACCGCCUGGAGCCCGGCGAGCUGCUCCCCAACGGGCCCUUCUCCUUCUACGGAGAUUACCAGAGCGAGUACUACGGCCCCGGGGGCAACUACGAGUUCUUCCCGCAAGGCCCGCCCUCCUCGCAGGCGCAGACGCCGGUGGAGCUGCCGUUCGGGGCGGCGGGCGGCCCGCCGGGCACGCCGCUGGGCGCGCUGGAACACCCGCUGCCCGGGCACCACCCGCCCGGCGAGGCGCAGCGCUUCCCCGACAUGCUGGCUCACCCCGCCGGGGACUCGCCCAGCCCCGAGCCCAGCCUGCCCGGCUCCCUGCACUCCAUGUCCGCGGAAGUGUUCGGCCCCAGUCCUCCGUUCUCCUCGAUAUCCGUCAACGGCGGUGCUAACUACGGCAAUCACUUGUCACACCCACCAGAAAUGAACGAAGCGGCCGUGUGGUAGCUCGAAGCGAACUGGGUCUAAGUAAGUGAUGAUCAUCUAGUCUGCUUGUUGUUACGGUGUACAGAAAUGAGUAAAUCUAACAUCUCUCCCGCCCUAAGACAAUGUCACCUUGGGAACGAACUGCGCCCGGCGGCUCCGAGCGGAGCCCUGCUGCAGAGCGGGACGAUCCCGACGUGCGCUUGUCGCAGACACGGGGACCUGUGUGUGCCAUGACAAAGGAACUGGUGAAGCUGUACAGUAACGUGCUGCCGCGCCGGGGGAUGGCGCGAUGCGAUCGCCCUGUCCGGAUGUCAUCCCAAGAGCCACAAUCCUUAGAAACUUCUCCUUUAAAAAAGAACGAUUGAAUGACGGGAAUGAGGUGAAAGGAAAGGGGGAAAAGCUGCAAGAACUCUAGCGCUCCCGAUAAGGAUGGUUCUGGCGUUACGCAUUUGUUUGUUCAUUUUUCUCUCUCAAAAGUUCGACAACGAGAAACUCUUUAGCUUCAGCCAUUGCAGCCUGCUGAAUACCAGAUGUACAACCCGAUCGCAGGGCUUGUGGUUCACUGUGCUAGUUUGUCCAAGGUGUUGUUUACAGAAGGCAAAGAGAAACCCGCGAAUCCCAGACCGUUGCCAAAUAAAGGAAAUCUAUAGCACAAAUACUGUAAGGUGCUUCGCACCAGCAACCCGGAAAGGCGUUUCAAAGCGUUGCAAGGUUAAAAACAGAACCAACCCGACAUCUUUGCUAAUUUUUAGUCCUGUUGAACAUUCAUGGAAUUGUUAAUAUGACUUAUAUAGACCCACACAGGUUUUAUUUUUGUGUCUUUAAAAUAAAAGUCCAAAAUAUUUAAAUUUUAUGGUCAAAUAUGCAGUCAACAGCUGCUACUUUUUUUCUUUAUAUAUUAAAUUUCUCAUAUGUCUUUUAUUGUUCUAAUAAACCUAAGCUUGUGUGACCUCCAGUGCAUAUUAGACCAUUCACUGUAUGAAAGAAAACAUGUUGGAUAAAAUUUGUGCGUUUUUAAUAAAAUUAGAAAAUCUGAUGUUUAGAUAA